UUAAUGAGAGUUUGAUCCUGGCUCAGGACGAACGCUGGCGGCGUGCCUAAUACAUGCAAGUAGAACGCUGAAGAGAGGAGCUUGCUCUUCUUGGAUGAGUUGCGAACGGGUGAGUAACGCGUAGGUAACCUGCCUUGUAGCGGGGGAUAACUAUUGGAAACGAUAGCUAAUACCGCAUAACAAUGAAUGACACAUGUCAUUUAUUUGAAAGGGGCAAUUGCUCCACUACAAGAUGGACCUGCGUUGUAUUAGCUAGUAGGUGAGGUAACGGCUCACCUAGGCGACGAUACAUAGCCGACCUGAGAGGGUGAUCGGCCACACUGGGACUGAGACACGGCCCAGACUCCUACGGGAGGCAGCAGUAGGGAAUCUUCGGCAAUGGGGGCAACCCUGACCGAGCAACGCCGCGUGAGUGAAGAAGGUUUUCGGAUCGUAAAGCUCUGUUGUAAGUCAAGAACGAGUGUGAGAGUGGAAAGUUCACACUGUGACGGUAGCUUACCAGAAAGGGACGGCUAACUACGUGCCAGCAGCCGCGGUAAUACGUAGGUCCCGAGCGUUGUCCGGAUUUAUUGGGCGUAAAGCGAGCGCAGGCGGUUUGAUAAGUCUGAAGUUAAAGGCUGUGGCUCAACCAUAGUUCGCUUUGGAAACUGUCAAACUUGAGUGCAGAAGGGGAGAGUGGAAUUCCAUGUGUAGCGGUGAAAUGCGUAGAUAUAUGGAGGAACACCGGUGGCGAAAGCGGCUCUCUGGUCUGUAACUGACGCUGAGGCUCGAAAGCGUGGGGAGCGAACAGGAUUAGAUACCCUGGUAGUCCACGCCGUAAACGAUGAGUGCUAGGUGUUGGAUCCUUUCCGGGAUUCAGUGCCGCAGCUAACGCAUUAAGCACUCCGCCUGGGGAGUACGACCGCAAGGUUGAAACUCAAAGGAAUUGACGGGGGCCCGCACAAGCGGUGGAGCAUGUGGUUUAAUUCGAAGCAACGCGAAGAACCUUACCAGGUCUUGACAUCCCGAUGCUAUUUCUAGAGAUAGAAAGUUACUUCGGUACAUCGGUGACAGGUGGUGCAUGGUUGUCGUCAGCUCGUGUCGUGAGAUGUUGGGUUAAGUCCCGCAACGAGCGCAACCCCUAUUGUUAGUUGCCAUCAUUCAGUUGGGCACUCUAGCGAGACUGCCGGUAAUAAACCGGAGGAAGGUGGGGAUGACGUCAAAUCAUCAUGCCCCUUAUGACCUGGGCUACACACGUGCUACAAUGGUUGGUACAACGAGUUGCGAGUCGGUGACGGCAAGCUAAUCUCUUAAAGCCAAUCUCAGUUCGGAUUGUAGGCUGCAACUCGCCUACAUGAAGUCGGAAUCGCUAGUAAUCGCGGAUCAGCACGCCGCGGUGAAUACGUUCCCGGGCCUUGUACACACCGCCCGUCACACCACGAGAGUUUGUAACACCCGAAGUCGGUGAGGUAACCUUUUGGAGCCAGCCGCCUAAGGUGGGAUAGAUGAUUGGGGUGAAGUCGUAACAAGGUAGCCGUAUCGGAAGGUGCGGCUGGAUCACCUCCUUUCUAAGGAA
rnacentral:rRNA from 1 species